rnacentral:rRNA from 1 species
GACGAACGCUGGCGGCGUGCCUAAUACAUGCAAGUAGAACGCACAGUUUAUACCGUAGCUUGCUACACCAUAGACUGUGAGUUGCGAACGGGUGAGUAACGCGUAGGUAACCUGCCUGGUAGCGGGGGAUAACUAUUGGAACCGAUAGCUAUUACCGCAUAAUAUUAAUUAUUGCAUGAUAAUUAAUUAAAGGGUGCAAUUGCACCACUACCAGAUGGCCCUGCGUUGUAUUAGCUAGUAGGUGAGGUAACGGCUCACCUAGGCGACGAUACAUAGCCGACCUGAGAGGGUGAUCGGCCACACUGGGACUGAGACACGGCCCAGACUCCUACGGGAGGCAGCAGUAGGGAAUCUUCGGCAAUGGACGAAAGUCUGACCGAGCAACGCCGCGUGAGUGAAGAAGGUUUUCGGAUCGUAAAGCUCUGUUGUAAGAGAAGAACGGGUGUGAGAGUGGAAAGUUCACACUGUGACGGUAUCUUACCAGAAAGGGACGGCUAACUACGUG